rnacentral:rRNA from 1 species
AACGAACGCUGGCGGCGCGCUUAACACAUGCAAGUCGAACGAGAAGGCGUAGCAAUACGCUUGUACAGUGGCGAACGGGUGAGUAAUACGUGGGCGACCUACCCUCGAGUGGGGAAUAACCCGCCGAAAGGCGGGCUAAUGCCGCGUACGCUUCCAUCUUUAUGGAGGUGGAAGGAAAGCCGUGCCGUGGGCACGGCGCUCAAGGAUGGGCUCACGUCCUAUCAGCUUGUUGGUAGGGAACGGCCUACCAAGGCUCCGACGGGUAGCUGGUCUGAGAGGACGAUCAGCCACACUGGCACUGCGACACGGGCCAGACUCCUACGGGAGGCAGCAGUGAGGAAUAUUGCGCAAUGGGCGAAAGCCUGACGCAGCGACGCCGCGUGUGGGAUGACGG